UAUGCUUCUUCCUAGUGCACUCUGCUCCAGCUCCAGCUUGCUCCCUGUGCAGCGUGAGUGCAUCUCAGUCCACGUCGGCCAGGCCGGCGUCCAGAUGGGCAACACCUGCUGGGAGCUGCACUGCCUGGAGCACGGCAUCCAGCCCGACGGGCAGAUGCCCACUGACAAAACCAUCGGUGGAGGGGACGACUCCUUCACCACCUUCUUCUGCGAGACAGGUGCAGGGAAGCAUGUCCCACGGGCCAUCUUUGUGGACCUGGAGCCCACUGUGAUCGAUGAAGUUCGGGCCGGAAUCUACCGCCAGCUCUUCCACCCAGAGCAGCUGAUCACGGGCAAGGAAGAUAAUGAAGCCUAGCUGGAUGCCCACACAGCCCAAGGACCAUUAACAAGCAGCGAAAACAUUUUCCUUCCCUGAAGUGCCAGCCUAGCUGAUCAGUGCACCGGCCUACAGGGCUUCCUGGUGUUUCGCAGCUUUGGAGGUGGCACCGGCUCUGGAUUCACCUCCUUGUUGAUGGAACGACUCUCCGUUGACUAUGGCAAGAAGUCCAAGCUCGAGUUCUCCAUCUACCCAGCACCCCAGGUCUCCACUGCGGUGGUGGAGCCCUACAACUCCAUCCUCACCACCCACACCACCCUGGAGCAUUCGGACUGUGCCUUCAUGGUCGACAAUGAGGCCAUCUACGACAUCUGUCGCAGGAACCUUGACAUCGAGCGCCCCACCUACACCAACCUGAAUCGCCUCAUUAGCCAGAUUGUGUCGUCCAUCACGGCAUCACUGCGGUUUGAUGGUGCCCUGAACGUGGACCUGACCGAGUUCCAGACCAACCUGGUGCCCUAUCCCCGCAUCCACUUCCCCCUGGCCACCUAUGCCCCCGUCAUCUCUGCAGAGAAGGCCUACCACGAGCAGCUGUCUGUGGCCGAGAUCACCAACUCCUGCUUUGAGCCGGCCAACCAGAUGGUGAAGUGUGACCCUCGCCACGGCAAGUACAUGGCCUGCUGCCUGCUGUACCGCGGGGACGUGGUGCCCAAAGACGUCAACGCCGCCAUUGCCACCAUCAAGACCAAGCGCAGCAUCCAGUUUGUGGACUGGUGCCCCACGGGCUUCAAGGUGGGCAUCAACUACCAGCCGCCCACGGUGGUGCCGGGGGGGGACCUGGCCAAGGUGCAGCGGGCCGUCUGCAUGCUCAGCAACACCACGGCCAUUGCCGAGGCCUGGGCUCGCCUCGACCACAAGUUCGACCUCAUGUACGCCAAGCGAGCCUUUGUGCACUGGUACGUGGGCGAGGGCAUGGAGGAAGGGGAGUUCUCUGAGGCGCGGGAAGACAUGGCUGCGCUGGAGAAGGAUUACGAGGAGGUGGGCCUGGACUCCUACGAGGAUGAAGAGGAGGGCGAGGAGUAGAGACGCCCACCACAAAGGACCUUCCUCCUUUUGCUCUGUUAACUGCACAAACCCUUGGCAAUAAACAGUUUCAGAGUC